rnacentral:rRNA from 1 species
UGGGGAAUAUUGCACAAUGGGCGCAAGCCUGAUGCAGCCAUGCCGCGUGUGUGAAGAAGGCCUUCGGGUUGUAAAGCACUUUCAGCGAGGAGGAAGGGUAGUGUGUUAAUGGCACAUUGCAUUGACGUUACUCGCAGAAGAAGCACCGGCUAACUCCGUGCCAGCAGCCGCGGUAAUACGGAGGGUGCAAGCGUUAAUCGGAAUUACUGGGCGUAAAGCGCACGCAGGCGGUUUGUUAAGUCAGAUGUGAAAUCCCCGCGCUUAACGUGGGAACUGCAUUUGAAACUGGCAAGCUAGAGUCUUGUAGAGGGGGGUAGAAUUCCAGGUGUAGCGGUGAAAUGCGUAGAGAUCUGGAGGAAUACCGGUGGCGAAGGCGGCCCCCUGGACAAAGACUGACGCUCAGGUGCGAAAGCGUGGGGAGCAAACA